GGAAACGACUGCUAAUACCCAAUGUGCCGAGAGGUGAAAGAUUUAUCACCUGGAGAGGGGCUCGCGUCCGAUUAGCUAGUUGGUGGGGUAAGAGCCUACCAAGGCGUCGAUCGGUAGCUGGUCUGAGAGGAUGAGCAGCCACACUGGGACUGAGACACGGCCCAGACUCCUACGGGAGGCAGCAGUGGGGAAUUUUCCGCAAUGGGCGAAAGCCUGACGGAGCAAUACCGCGUGAGGGAGGAAGGCUUUUGGGUUGUAAACCUCUUUUCUUAGGGAAGAAGAAAGUGACGGUACCUAAGGAAUCAGCAUCGGCUAACUCCGUGCCAGCAGCCGCGGUAAUACGGAGGAUGCAAGCGUUAUCCGGAAUUAUUGGGCGUAAAGCGUCCGCAGGUGGCACUUCAAGUCUGCUGUCAAAGACCAGAGCUCAACUCUGGGCAGGCGGUGGAAACUGGGGAGCUAGAGUACGGUAGGGGUAGAGGGAAUUUCCAGUGUAGCGGUGAAAUGCGUAGAGAUUGGAAAGAACACCAGUGGCGAAGGCGCUCUACUGGACCUGUACUGACAC
rnacentral:rRNA from 1 species